UGUACCAGUUGUGCCGCCAGGCGCAUCGCUGGGUAGCUACGUAUGGAUGUGAUAAACGCUGAAAGCAUCUAAGUGUGAAACACACCUCGAGAUGAGAUUUCCCAUUCCUUUAUGGAAGUAAGACCCCUGAAAGAUGAUCAGGUAGAUAGGUUAGAAGUGGCAGUGCGGUGACGCAUGAAGCGGACUAAUACUAAUCGGUCGAGGACUUAACCAAG
rnacentral:rRNA from 1 species